rnacentral:rRNA from 1 species
GACGUAGGGCGCGAGCGUUGUCCGGAUUUAUUGGGCGUAAAGAGCUCGUAGGCGGCUUGUCGCGUCGACUGUGAAAUCCCGCGGCUCAACUGCGGGUCUGCAGUCGAUACGGGCAGGCUAGAGUUCGGUAGGGGAGACUGGAAUUCCUGGGUGUAGCGGUGAAAUGCGCAGAUAUCAGGAGGAACACCGGUGGCGAAGGCGGGUCUCUGGGCCGAUACUGACGCUGGAGGAG